rnacentral:rRNA from 1 species
AUGAUUUGCAUAGGCCAACAGUAUGCGUAUGGCUUCAAGCCUAGCCACAGGAGCAAACGUUUCAUCGAAGUCAAUGCCUUCCACUUGAGUAUAUCCUUGAGCAACGAGACGAGCUUUGUUUCUGACAACUUGACCAUGCUCAUCUUGCUUGUUGCGGUAUAUCCAUUUGGUGCCUAUUAUGUUGUGCUUCCGUGGAUCAGGACGCUUAACCAGUUCCCAUACAUUAUUCAGCUCAAAUUGUUGAAGCUCUUCUUGCAUAGCUUGAAUCCAUUCAGGUUCCAUGAAGGCUUCUUCAACUUUCUUGGGUUUUGA